UCUUCACUGAUUUUCACCGACAAGAACAGUACUAGCAGAGAUCUAAUCGGAAGUUAUCUCAGAACCUAACCAAAACAGGAAUUCGUUUAAAGAAGCCGUAAACAACAAUAUCUGGAACUGAGAGAACCACCAGCCACAACUUCUUAGUCUUCAGUGCUAGACCUUCUACAACAGGAGAGCAUCAAUCGAACUAAGACGAAAGCAAAUCCAAGAAGCGAAACCACCAGAGACGCCAGAAAACUAAGCAAAAUGGUCUCUCAUAGAUCAACGAUUACAACAAUCGCAGACAAUUUAACGGAUUUGGUUAUCCGGCAUCAGACACAAUCAUCUUUUAAGAUAAGAAGGAAACCUAAGAUUAUAAAAACCUACCAAGAGAAGGAUGAACCAACAAAUCCAAAACCGAAAGAAAAUUGAAACUGAAGAGAGAUAAAAAAGUAGAGCCAGCCGGCUUCACCAAAAGGAAAAAGAGGUUGCCAUAGACAAACGUGCAUGUUAGGAAUUUAUCGAUUUUUGAUUGCUUAACGACACAAGAUUUUUAACCCAGUUCCCUUGCGGUACCUCUGGGGUGGGAACCGUCUCCCACAACAUCCACUAUCAAUCAAAGGGUUUACACAAACGCUCUAAGCGCUCAAUAGAAAGACACAACAAAGAAUUAGAGAGAUCAAAGAAACUCUAUCCCGAAGCGACAUGACUCGAACAAUGUCUCUUGCCCUUAGUUUCUUUUUUACCUGAUCUCUCUCUAGCUCUCUCUCCCUUUUGGUCUUGUGUUUCAGAUGAUUAGAAUGCCUUGACCACGUCUCCUAUUUAUAACACCAGCCACCGUCCCUAGCUUUCCUUUUUCCAUAAUGUUUUAACAUUUUAGUUAACCGACAUAUGAAGUAAAGGAAACUAUCUAACGUUUUCCCGUUUUGUGCAGGUCUUCAAACGAACAGGAAACUUUGUGUGGACCAGAAAUUGGGCCUUUUCUUACAAUCUCCACCUAAGGCCCAUAUUGCUGUCCACACCAUAUGGCCCAACUGCUUUUACCUUGCCGUUGGAAACGUCGACGAACCUUGGAGCGUUUCUUCUCCGUCUUUGAGUUACUCCAUAGACCACUCCACCUGAAGAUCCUCAGUCACCAUCAAUCACCAUCGUCAUGCUCCUUGUCCUCCUCGAAGCCGUGAUGAAUUCUAUCAGCGAAUCCCCUUCGCCAUAGCUCCGUGUAGCCCGUACACCGCUACUUCUUCUUCAACCUUUUCCGGCUUCGAUUCAUAUUUGCUCGAGAUCGACUUAACUUUCCAAUCCUCAGCUCUCUCAUUCAAUCACAUCAACUACUCUUCCAUGUUGAUGGAUGAACUGUGUCAAUCUUGCUGGAUUAUUAUAUUACUCCGCUGAGAUACUCUGUCUCCCUUCAGCUUCCAUAGCUGUUUAAGACGUUCUCUUCUCAGGAUGCUCCACCUCGAACUGAAAACAAUUUGGUCUCCUCUUGUUGUUCAACGGAGAUGCCUUAAAGGCAAUCUGUUUUUGCAUCCCCACCUGCAACUGAUAUCACCUUCUCUCUCCCUUUGAUGCUUCCUUUGAUAGUGAAGUUUUAAUGCAAUUCUGAAAGAAUCCUUGCAUCUUCUGGCAUUCUUCUCCAAUACCACCGACCCUUUGUAGUCUCAGGUAUACUUUUAAGUUCUUCUUCAUCUUUACAAUGAUGAAUUUAGCUUGCCCC